GAUGAACGCUGGCGGCGUGCCUAAUACAUGCAAGUCGAGCGAACAGACGAGGAGCUUGCUCCUCUGACGUUAGCGGCGGACGGGUGAGUAACACGUGGAUAACCUACCUAUAAGACUGGGAUAACUUCGGGAAACCGGAGCUAAUACCGGAUAAUAUAUUGAACCGCAUGGUUCAAUAGUGAAAGACGGUUUUGCUGUCACUUAUAGAUGGAUCCGCGCCGCAUUAGCUAGUUGGUAAGGUAACGGCUUACCAAGGCGACGAUGCGUAGCCGACCUGAGAGGGGGGUGGGCCACACGGGAACUGGGACCCGGUCCGGGCCCCUAGGGGAGGCAGAGGUAGGGAAGCUUCCGCAAAGGGCGAAAGCCUGACGGAGCAACGCCGGGGGGGUGAUGAAGGUCUUCGGACCGUAAAACUCUGUUAUUGGGGAAAAAAAAAUUUGAAAGUAACUAUGCCGGUUUUGACGGUACCUAAACAGAAAGCCCCGGCUAACUACGU
rnacentral:rRNA from 1 species